rnacentral:rRNA from 1 species
GACGAACGCUGGCGGCGUGCUUAACACAUGCAAGUCGAACGGAAAGGCCCUGCUUUUGUGGGGUGCUCGAGUGGCGAACGGGUGAGUAACACGUGAGUAACCUGCCCUUGACUUUGGGAUAACUUCAGGAAACUGGGGCUAAUACCGGAUAGGAGCUCCUGCUGCAUGGUGGGGGUUGGAAAGUUUCGGCGGUUGGGGAUGGACUCGCGGCUUAUCAGCUUGUUGGUGGGGUAGUGGCUUACCAAGGCUUUGACGGGUAGCCGGCCUGGGAGGGUGACCGGCCACAUUGGGACUGAGAUACGGCCCAGACUCCUACGGGAGGCAGCAGUGGGGAAUAUUGCACAAUGGGCGGAAGCCUGAUGAAGCAACGCCGCGUGCGGGAUGACGGCCUUCGGGUUGUAAACCGCUUUCGCCUGUGACGAAGCGUGAGUGACGGUAAUGGGUAAAGAAGCACCGGCUAACUACGUG